rnacentral:rRNA from 1 species
AGUGAACGCUGGCGGUAGGCCUAACACAUGCAAGUCGAACGGCAGCACAGUAAAAGCUUGCUCUUACGGGUGGCGAGUGGCGGACGGGUGAGGAAUACAUCGGAAUCUACUUUUUCGUGGGGGAUAACGUAGGGAAACUUACGCUAAUACCGCAUACGACCUACGGGUGAAAGCAGGGGAUCUUCGGACCUUGCGCGAGUGAAUGAGCCGAUGUCGGAUUAGCUAGUUGGCGGGGUAAAGGCCCACCAAGGCGACGAUCCGUAGCUGGUCUGAGAGGAUGAUCAGCCACACUGGAACUGAGACACGGUCCAGACUCCUACGGGAGGCAGCAGUGGGGAAUAUUGGACAAUGGGCGCAAGCCUGAUCCAGCCAUACCGCGUGGGUGAAGAAGGCCUUCGGGUUGUAAAGCCCUUUUGUUGGGAAAGAAAAGCAGCAGGUUAAUACCCCGCUGUUCUGACGGUACCCAAAGAAUAAGCACCGGCUAACUUCGUG